AUGACCACCGAGGCCGCUACCUCGGCCCAGCCCGGCCAGGCAGACGCACCUCUGGAGACACAAAACUCUUGUUUUCCAGAUGUGACAGCUGAGCGAGUGAGUUCCUCGGAACCCAGGGGCCUACCAAAUAGAAAAGAAGACAUAACACACUUCCCUGUUGCUUCGACAUCAGUGAGGAACCUCGCCAUGGCUCGAGAGAUCGUAAGUCUUGGUCUUUGACCUUCAUCUUUGAAUGGCUUGGAACUCAAUUUUGUGUCACCUGGAAAGCUGAGGGAUUCAAGUUUGGAGAUGAGGGUUGGAGGGGUGAGUCCACUCCUAUGACUCAGUUCCUAAAAGCCUAAAUAAUGAAUUGUUUUACACUGAAAAAUCUAAUUUUCAAGCUGACCACAGCACUGGUGCCAAUCGACUCAUUGAAUGUUCUUCCCAUGUGGACUAGAUGAACAAAAGAAACUAAAAAGUUCACGUUGAUGAGCCUAGGGAGUUGUGCCAUCCCAUGUCUGGUGUGCAGAGACAUUUGAGAAGCAUUGGUGUGACAAGUCUUUCCUAAACUUUGUAAUAACCUCCCAAAUAAUUUGUAGGUCUCUGAUCCUUCCUUCGCACUUCCACCAGCAUCAUGAAACAAGUGUGUUUGAAGUAAGUCUGACUACAUCUUUCUGCUGAUCUCAGCAAUUCCCUCUCAAGAUAAAGUGCAAAUUCGGAUGCAUAGGAUAUAAGGUCUUCUAUAGUCUUGUUGCUGCGUACGUUCCAAGUACAUCCCCCACCUUCACAUCCUUUAUGUUCUAGUCCAACUAAACUCAUCAUGAUUUUAGUAAACUUGUACCCAGUUUCAGGGCUUUAAAUACCAACUUUUAUACUGCAGACUCCCAAAUUUCCAUAUGUAGUCUAGACCUUAGCUCUGGAUUCAUUAUUUCUCUAUAGUUCUAUUUGUAUGUAUCCAGACAUCUCAGAUUUAACAUGUCUAACACUGAACCGUGACAGCCACCUCUCUGCAAAAACAAAAAAUACCCCCCCCAAAAAAACCCUUUGCUCCUCAGUGAUCUUCAAAAUCUUGGUAAAUGGCACUAGCUUCUAGCUAUCAAGGCCGAACCCAUACGGUGGUUUUUCUUAUGCCAUAUCCAAUCCGUGUGGAGAUACUGAAGGUCUUACCUUCAUAAUAUACCCUAAAUUUUACCACUUCUGUUACUGAACCAAACUUGAGUCCACUCACCCACGCAGUCAA
rnacentral:lncRNA from 1 species